rnacentral:rRNA from 1 species
CCAAGGAGUCUAACAUGUGCGCAAGUCGUUCGGUCUUGAAUAGGCCUGAAAGGCGAAAUGAAAGUAAUGGAUACGAUCCUGGUGUCAUGCUCGCAAGGGCGGCCAGGCGCAGUAUCGACCCGCUUGAUCCGCAUACAUUUGUCGGAUAAGCGGAGUUUGAGCGUACACGUUGGUACCCGAAAGAUGGUGAACUAUGCCUGGGCAAGACGAAGCCAGAGGAAACUCUGGUGGAGGUCUGUAGCGAUUCUGACGUGCAAAUCGAUCGUCAGACCUGGGUAUAGGGGCGAAAGACUAAUCGAACCAUC